ensembl:snRNA U7 U7 small nuclear RNA
GAGUGUUACAGCUCUUUUAGAAUUUUUCUAGCAGGCUUUCUGGUCUUUGCCGGAAAGCCUAU